rnacentral:rRNA from 1 species
UGGGGAAUAUUGGACAAUGGGCGCAAGCCUGAUCCAGCCAUGCCGCGUGAGUGAUGAAGGCCCUAGGGUUGUAAAGCUCUUUCGCCAGGGACGAUAAUGACGGUACCUGGAUAAGAAGCCCCGGCUAACUUCGUGCCAGCAGCCGCGGUAAUACGAAGGGGGCUAGCGUUGUUCGGAAUCACUGGGCGUAAAGCGCACGUAGGCGGAUCUUUAAGUCAGGGGUGAAAUCCCGAGGCUCAACCUCGGAACUGCCUUUGAUACUGGAGGUCUCGAGUCCGGGAGAGGUGAGUGGAACUGCGAGUGUAGAGGUGAAAUUCGUAGAUAUUCGCAAGAACACCAGUGGCGAAGGCGGCUCACUGGCCCGGUACUGACGCUGAGGUGCGAAAAGCGUGGGGAGCAAAACAGGAUUAGAUACCCUGGUAGUCCACGCCGUAAACUAUGGAUGCUAGCCGUUGGGCAGCUUGCUGUUCAGUGGCGCAGCUAACGCUUUAAGCAUCCCGCCUGGGGGAGUACGGUCGCAAGAUUAAAAACUUAAAUGAAUUGAC